rnacentral:rRNA from 1 species
UUUUUUUCCAGACCGGGGAAGCCAGGUCAGUUUCUAUCUUCUUUAACAUAAUAUACAGUACGAAAGGACCUAUAAUAAUAAUAUUAUUAUUUAUUUAGCAAAUAAUGCAUUAGAAUUAGAAUCUAAUUAAACUUUAUUACACUUAUAAUAUUUAUAACAAAUUAUACUAUU